GGCAGUGGGUGUAGUGUGGAGGUGGAGUAGUGUAGGGACUUUGAAAGUAGAAACUAUGACCGGUAAAGAGAGACAGCUGGUUGAUGGAGAGAAAGAAGGUAGGAAUAUUGUAUGUGCAAGAGACAAGAUGUAAUGAAAGCAGGGCCAGGAGUAUUGAAUGCUGAUUCAAAUUAUUCUAUCAUGGUGUAGAUAGGAAAAAAAUAGAUUAGGGGUCAUCUUUAAGAAGAGGAUGUGAACAGUAUUGUGGAGGUUGGAUAUCCAUCAGAAGAGAGAGAGAGGAAUUCUGGGGAAACUCGAACCAAGCUCUCACUACAAUAGAGACUUGAUACCGGGCCCAAUCCGCAGAUCCAGAUCAGAGUUUGUCAGGAUUUGAACCUGAAGAGAAACAGUUAACAGAGACAGAGUGUCAAUUCACUGGAUGACUGGACUCCAACAAACCCUGAAACACAGCAACAAAAGACCACAAUCUGCCUCUCCAACCACCCUCCUCUUCACCCCAUCGCAGAAAAAAAAAAAGGAUCCCAUUAUGUAACCCACCAACCAUCUCACUCAUUAACUGGUUCCCAGUUAAAAGAGUGAAGGGGAUGGGAAGGAUCACGUGGUGCAGGGGCUUGUUUACCAAAACAAGGGUUGAACGAGGGAGAAACAGACUGUGAAGAAAAAAAGUAAGAAAGGGAGUUAAAAAAGAAGAGGCGAAGCAGCUUUUCCCACCAACUCAUUCACAACUCAAAUGCUUUCAGUCGCUGUGCUGCUGACCGCCGUCACCAUGGAAACGACUGCUCAAGCAAAAGCAGCAAGGGGUGGGAGGGUGAAGGAAUGGGAGUGGGAGCAGAAACAGUUUCACAUCUGUCCAUCUGUUUGUCCACUUCAUGAAAACUACACGAUUAAAACUCUAAAGACACCUGAACUUCCUUUCUGUGCACCACAGUGUAGCCGGGGGGGGGGCAAUCUCAGUCCACAAGGGCCGGUGUCC